UGGAAACGAAGCUUUUUGUCAAUUGAUUGU
rnacentral:piRNA from 1 species